UACUAACUCUGAAUAAACCAUUUUUUUUAAAAUUUCUAGGAAAAGUGUAACUCAGGGGUGCAGUGCCUGCCUGGUAAGCAUCAUGUCCUGAGUUUGAUUACUGGCAUUAGAACAAAAAAAGAUUGAAGAGUGCAAAAUUGUUCAAGAAAAAAGAACAUUUUAAGCAAUGACUGUACCUUUGAAUAGCCACAAACAUCAGCAAUACACCUAUCCCAGAAAGAGACUACAUUUCUCAAUCAUCUUUUAAGGAGAAAUACGAAUGUGUAACAACAAGCUCUGAAAUUAUACUGCAAGUUGGUAGUUGCACGUAUUUAUUCUAUAACUUGUUUUACCCUUUGAUGCAAGGCUGUUGCAUGGGUUGUUAAAUUUCCUGUGUUUCCAGAGCAAACUGGCAGCCAAAUAAACAAAUAUUUGAAUCAUCUGACCGAUGUUGAAAUUUGGGUGCAUUUAAACGGACUGUUCAAUGUUCAGUCAAAUAAGGAGACCACUCCUGUCAUUCAGAAUAUCACACUGUUACUCGGAAAUGAUCGCAGGGGAAGUAAUUACUAUUUCUUUUUCAACUGACCCUCAUCAAGUUCACAAGGGGAUGAUCAUUUCAGAAUUAUCUUUACUGAUGAAGAAAAGAUUGGAAAAGAUCGGUAAGAGAUCUUUGGAACCGAGAGCAAGCUGCACUAAUGAGUCUCCUGAUGCUGUCCCGGCGAUGGGCCCCGCAGAAUCCCAUCAAUAA
rnacentral:lncRNA from 1 species